rnacentral:rRNA from 1 species
UACGUAGUUGGCCGGUCCUUCUUCUGUACCUACCGUCACUUUCGCUUCGUCGGUACUGAAAGAGGUUUACAACCCGAAGGCCGUCAUCCCUCACGCGGCGUUGCUGGAUCAGGCUUCCGCCCAUUGUCCAAUAUUCCCCACUGCUGCCUCCCGUAGGAGUCUGGGCCGUGUCUCAGUCCCAGUGUGACCGGUCACCCUCUCAGGCCGGUUACCCGUCAAAGCCUUGGUGAGCCAUUACCUCACCAACAAGCUGAUAGGCCGCGAGCACAUCCUGGACCGAAAAAACUUUCCACCACCAUCACAUGCGUGAAGUGGUCCUAUCCGGUAUUAAUCACCGUUUCCGGUGGCUAUCCCAGAGUCCAGGGCAGAUUACUCACGUGUUACUCACCCGUUCGCCGCUCGAGUACCCCCGAAGGAGCCUUUCCGCUCGACUUGCAUGUGUUAAGCACGCCGCCAGCGUCGUCCUCGAGCCACGGAGUCAACUAC